CGGCACGGGUGAGUAACACAUAUGCAACCUGGCCGUCACAGGUGGAUAACCGGAAGAAAUUCCGACUAAUACAGCAUAACACUCCUGAGGGACAUCCUUCGGGAGUCAAAGGAGGCAACUCCGGUGACGGAUGGGCAUGCGGCGCAUUAGGUAGUUGGUAGGGUAACGGCCUACCAAGCCGACGAUGCGUAGGGGUUCUGAGAGGAAGGUCCCCCACACUGGUACUGAGACACGGACCAGACUCCUACGGGAGGCAGCAG
rnacentral:rRNA from 1 species